ensembl:lncRNA
CGGCUGGGUUUAAACAUCGGGACAUCCCGCAAGCUCCGUGUUUAAUCUCCCUUAGAGCACCUCUAGCACCCUUGCAAAAUACCCAUUCAGGGCAUCAAUCACUUCUAAAGACCUUCUGGUUCAUAUGCAAAUGUGAAAAACAAACAACUUUCCCUGGAGGCAGCAGGGAGGGCUCAGCUCGUCACCAGAGCACCGCCAGCAUUUCUUCCCCUUGUGCGUUCUCCUACUCCCACAUCCCCACCCACCUCUCCCGGGGCUGGGGGCCCGAGGAUUCCUGCGUAGCCCAGGGCAGGGGCACAGGAAUCGGCUCAUUAGGCAGAAGUAACAAUUACAGCAGCGAAAUGAGCGGUGUGAAGGGAGAUAUGGAUCGGGAGUCAAAGCAAACACUGAAAUCGCAGUUUGGUAAAUAAAUCCUUCUCAUUCCCGAGGGUGUCUCACUUCCCAUACAUGUUAAACGCCAUAUAAAUGUUCCCGAGGCUGUUAAAGCAACUCAUUCAGUCGACUUUUACCUCCUAAAUGUGUUUCCGAUGGCUGAAGAGGCUUUACCACUGUCUCCGGCGGAAAUGUUCCCGGCGGAACCGGGGCUACAGCCGGGACAUCUCCCUGAGCCACAGCGGCUUCUGCAGCGGGAGCUUCUCCAACCACCACGGCCGCGCCUCCUUCUCCUGCGGCCGGGAGGGCUCGGUCACCUACAGCCGGAGACCCCCGCCCUGCCCGCCCCGGCCGGCGCCAGCCCCCUUCAGCAUCUCGGGGGGCUUCUCGUGUGACACCGACGGCUCCCUCGUGGUGGCCAGCGGGGACUGUGGGGUCUCGUCUGGCUGGGAUGUCUCGGUGGGCACGGUCCCGGUCUAUGGCUCCGGGGUGGGAGCGGGGUACAGCGGUGAGGGCGCGGCUCCUGCCGCUGGCAGCGCAUCCAUCUACCACGGAGGGGAUUUGGGAAUGGCUGAGGGAGCAGGGGCUGGGUAUGGAUACACCGCACCCCCGAGGGACACCCUGAGCACGGGGGGCGUCGCUGAGGGGUCGGGGUACUACGGGGGAUACGGAAGCGGGGCGUUCCCAGGCCCGGAGCUCAGCCCUGCGGGCGGGGGAUGCGCCCAGGUGGUGCAGCAGAAGUGCCCCGUGGUUGUCCCCACCAUCAAGACCCAGCAGUGCAAGCAGAGCACCCACUGGCCCCCCAUCCAGAAGAAGUGAGUGGCCCAGCCUUUCCCACAUCCCAAAAGUGCCCCUGGAUGUGCCACAAUGGAAUUUCCCCCUGACCACGCCACCAAAUCGCAUUCCUCACGCGGGGCUGUGCUGACAACAGUCCCCCAGAACUGCUGGAAAAAGGGGUUUGUGCUGUGGUGAUGGGAAAAGAUUC